rnacentral:rRNA from 1 species
ACGGGAGGCAGCAGUGAGGAAUAUUGGUCAAUGGGCGAGAGCCUGAACCAGCCAAGUCGCGUGAAGGAUGAAGGUUCUAUGGAUUGUAAACUUCUUUUGUUCGAGGGUAAAGUGAGUCACGUGUGAUUUAUUGCAAGUAUCGAACGAAUAAGCAUCGGCUAACUCCGUGCCAGCAGCCGCGGUAAUACGGAGGAUGCGAGCGUUAUCCGGAUUUAUUGGGUUUAAAGGGUGCGUAGGCGGGAUGUUAAGUCAGCGGUUAAAUAGUGUAGCUCAACUAUACUUUGCCGUUGAAACUGGCGUUCUUGAGUGUAAACGAGGUAGGCGGAAUGUGACGUGUAGCGGUGAAAUGCUUAGAUAUGCCACAGAACUCCGAUAGCGAAGGCAGCUCGCCAGGCCUGCAUUGACGCUCAGGCACGAAAGCGUGGGGAUCGAACAGGAUUAGAUACCCUGGUA